GACGAGCGGCGGACGGGUGAGUAAUGUCUGGGAAACUGCCUGAUGGAGGGGGAUAACUACUGGAAACGGUAGCUAAUACCGCAUAAUGUCGCAAGACCAAAGAGGGGGACCUUCGGGCCUCUUGCCAUCAGAUGUGCCCAGAUGGGAUUAGCUAGUAGGUGGGGUAACGGCUCACCUAGGCGACGAUCCCUAGCUGGUCUGAGAGGAUGACCAGCCACACUGGAACUGAGACACGGUCCAGACUCCUACGGGAGGCAGCAGUGGGGAAUAUUGCACAAUGGGCGCAAGCCUGAUGCAGCCAUGCCGCGUGUAUGAAGAAGGCCUUCGGGUUGUAAAGUACUUUCAGCGGGGAGGAAGGCGUUGAGGUUAAUAACCCCAACGAUUGACGUUACCCGCAGAAGAAGCACCGGCUAACUCCGUGCCAGCAGCCGCGGUAAUACGGAGGGUGCAAGCGUUAAUCGGAAUCACUGGGCGUAAAGCGCACGCAGGCGGUCUGUCAAGUCGGAUGUGAAAUCCCCGGGCUCAACCUGGGAACUGCAUUCGAAACUGGCAGGCUAGAGUCUUGUAGAGGGGGGUAGAAUUCCAGGUGUAGCGGUGAAAUGCGUAGAGAUCUGGAGGAAUACCGGUGGCGAAGGCGGCCCCCUGGACAAAGACUGACGCUCAGGUGCGAAAGCGUGGGGAGCAAACAGGAUUAGAUACCCUGGUAGUCCACGCCGUAAACGAUGUCGACUUGGAGGUUGUGCCCUUGAGGCGUGGCUUCCGGAGCUAACGCGUUAAGUCGACCGCCUGGGGAGUACGGCCGCAAGGUUAAAACUCAAAUGAAUUGACGGGGGCCCGCACACAGCGGUGGAGCAUGUGGUUUAAUUCGAUGCAACGCGAAGAACCUUACCUACUCUUGACAUCCAGAGAACUUUCCAGAGAUGGAUUGGUGCCUUCGGGAACUCUGAGACAGGUGCUGCAUGGCUGUCGUCAGCUCGUGUUGUGAAAUGUUGGGUUAAGUCCCGCAACGAGCGCAACCCUUAUCCUUUGUUGCCAGCGGUCCGGCCGGGAACUCAAAGGAGACUGCCAGUGAUAAACUGGAGGAAGGUGGGGAUGACGUCAAGUCAUCAUGGCCCUUACGAGUAGGGCUACACACGUGCUACAAUGGCGCAUACAAAGAGAAGCGACCUCGCGAGAGCAAGCGGACCUCAUAAAGUGCGUCGUAGUCCGGAUUGGAGUCUGCAACUCGACUCCAUGAAGUCGGAAUCGCUAGUAAUCGUAGAUCAGAAUGCUACGGUGAAUACGUUCCCGGGCCUUGUACACACCGCCCGUCACACCAUGGGAGUGGGUUGCAAAAGAAGUAGGUAGCUUAACCUUCGG
rnacentral:rRNA from 1 species